AGGCCUGCUUUUCACACCUUUAUACCCAAUGGCUUUGUUACGACUGUAGACUUAAACAGCUUAUUUAAUUGUUCUCUUGUCAACCCAAUGCUAUCUUUUGUGUAAGUUUAGGUUGCGCUUUUGCAACCCGUCGUGAACAAGGCAGUGUAGUUCCACCUUUGCAGCAAUAUCACUGGUUGGCAAAGCUUUGGAGGCUGAUAGCUGUUGGAAUAGUAGGGAGCACAACGCUGAGAUGAGCUAUCGAAUGCCCUGUGUACACAACUCGCGCUUUGCCGUCAUGAAAUCGUGUCUUUCUGGCUGACUGCCAGAAUAACACAUGGCAUUUAUUAUACUAUUCCUUGGCGAUUAUGGCGAACUGGUUUAGCGUGACGACUUAUUACGGUCUCAUGAAAUGAGUUGGGCGCUCUAAAAAGGAAGAAAAUUACAGAUGCUUAUCUACAUGCAAACAAGCCGAUGUAUGGCUCUCUCGUGCUGAUGAGGUGAUCAGUGGUUCGACUCGAUCAAGAAGUCUGGCGCCAAGAGGGUUGAUGUUGGUCAAUGAAACUAUAGAAUUAGACCACUUCAUAAAAUAAACAUUGUUAAUAUCC